rnacentral:rRNA from 1 species
CAUUACAGAGUUAUACAACUCCCAUACCAUUUGUAAACUUUACUCAGUUAUGCCUCGGCGUGAACUGCGUACGGAGGCAGAGUGGUGUUACCCGGUAGCUUACCCUGUAGGUUACCCUGUAGCGCUACCCUGUAUCAACUCCCGCGCAGCCCGCCGGUGGUACACUAAACUCUUGUUUUAUUUUAUAUUCUGAGCGUAUUAUUUUAAUAAUUAAAACUUUCAACAACGGAUCUCUUGGUUCUGGCAUCGAUGAAGAACGCAGCGAAAUGCGAUAAGUAAUGUGAAUUGCAGAAUUCAGUGAAUCAUCGAAUCUUUGAACGCACAUUGCGCCCAUCAGUAUUCUGGUGGGCAUGCCUGUUCGAGCGUCAUUUCAACCCUUAAGCCUAGCUUAGUGUUGGGAAUCUACUGUAUUGUAGUUCCUUAAAGACAGUGGCGGAGCGAUAGUUGUCCUCUGAGCGUAGUAAAUUUAUUUCUCGCUUUUGUAAGGCUCUAUUCUCCCGCCAUAAAACCCCCAAUUUUUUAGUGGUUGACCUCGGAUCAGGUAGGAAUACCCGCUGAACUUAAGCAUAUCAAUAAGCGGAGGAAAAGAAACCAACAGGGAUUCCCCUAGUAACGGCGAGUGAAGCGGGAACAGCUCAAAUUUGAAAUCUGGCCCUUGGGUCCGAGUUGUAAUUUGCAGAGGAUGCUUUUUGGUGCGGUGCCUUCCGAGUUCCCUGGAACGGGACGCCUUAGAGGGUGAGAGCCCCGUACGGUUGGACACCAAGCCUAUGUAAAGCUCCU